rnacentral:rRNA from 1 species
GGGGAAUUAGGGUUCGAUUCCGGAGAGGGAGCCUGAGAAACGGCUACCACAUCUAAGGAAGGCAGCAGGYGCGCAAGAUUACCCAAUCCUAAUACAGGGAGGUAGUGACAAGAAAUAACAAUACAGGACUUUUUGGUUUUGUAAUUGGAAUGAGUUAAGUAUAAACCCCUUUACAAGUAUCAAUUGGAGGGCAAGUCUGGUGCCAGCAGCCGCGGUAAUUCCAGCUCCAAUAGCGUAUAUUAAAGUUGUUGCAGUUAAAAAGCUCGUAGUUGGAUUUCUGUUAAUAAUUUAUAUAUAAUAUUUGAUUAAUAUUUAUAUAAUAUUAACAUAAUUCAUAUUACUAAAUUUAUUAGUAUAUGAAAUUUUACUUUGAGAAAAUUAGAGUGCUUAAAGCAGGCAUAUGCCUUGAAUACUCCAGCAUGGAAUAAUAUUAAAGAUUUUUAUCUUUCUUAUUGGUUCUAAGAUAAAAAUAAUGAUUAAUAGGGACAGUUGGGGGCAUUUGUAUUUAACAGUCAGAGGUGAAAUUCUUAGAUUUGUUAAAGACAAACUAAUGCGAAAGCAUUUGCCAAGGAUGUUUUCAUUAAUCAAGAACGAAAGUUAGGGGAUCGAAGACGAUCAGAUACCG